rnacentral:rRNA from 1 species
GACGAACGCUGGCGGCGUGCUUAACACAUGCAAGUCGAACGGAAAGGCCCUGCUUUUGUGGGGUGCUCGAGUGGCGAACGGGUGAGUAACACGUGAGUAACCUGCCCUUGACUUUGGGAUAACUUCAGGAAACUGGGGCUAAUACCGGAUAGGAGCUCCUGCUGCAUGGUGGGGGUUGGAAAGUUUCGGCGGUUGGGGAUGGACUCGCGGCUUAUCAGCUUGUUGGGGGGGUAGUGGCUUACCAGGGCUUUGACGGGUAGCCGGCCUGAGAGGGUGACCGGCCACAUUGGGACUGAGGUACGGCCCAGACUGCUACCGGAGGCAGCAGGGGGGAAUAUGGCAGAAUGGGCGGGAGCCUGAUGCAGCAACGCCGCGUGCGGGAUGACGGGUUUCGGGUUGUAAACAGCUUUGGCAUGUGAUGAAGCGUGCGUGACGGUAACGGGUAAAGAAGCACCGGCUAACUACGUG